rnacentral:rRNA from 1 species
UGGGAGUAAAGCGCGUGUAGGCCCUCUGAUUAGUCCGAUGUGAAACCCCUGGGCUCAACCCAGGAAGUGCAUUGGAUCCUGUCAGACUUGAAUACGGGAGAGGGUAGUGGAAUUCCUAGUGUAGGAGUGAAAUCCGUAGAUAUUAGGAGGAACACCGGUGGCGAAGGCGGCUACCUGGACCGAUAUUGACGCUGAGACGCGAAAGCGUGGGUAGCAAACAGGAUUAGUAGGCCUGGUAGUCCACGCCCGUAAACUU